rnacentral:lncRNA from 1 species
AAAAAACAAAUAAAUAAAUAAAUAACACAUAAGAUGUGGUGAAAUCCUAAAGAAAAAAUCUUAGGGGGACGGGGAUAAAAAAUUGUAAGACUCAAUUAUUUUAACAAUUGAAAGACCUUUGAAAUAUUUAAGGCGAUAUUUUUUUAAAAGCAAAAUAAGAGUUAACAUUCCCAAUCAAAGUAAACAUGAAUAAUUUAUUGGUACAAGAAGUACUAGAAUCUGC